GACGAACGCUGGCGGCGUGCCUAAUACAUGCAAGUAGAACGCUGAAGAGAGGAGCUUGCUCUUCUUGGAUGAGUUGCGAACGGGUGAGUAACGCGUAGGUAACCUGCCUGGUAGCGGGGGAUAACUAUUGGAAACGAUAGCUAAUACCGCAUAAAAUGGAUUAUCGCAUGAUAAUCCAUUGAAAGGUGCAAAUGCAUCACUACCAGAUGGACCUGCGUUGUAUUAGCUAGUUGGCGGGGUAACGGCUCACCAAGGCGACGAUACAUAGCCGACCUGAGAGGGUGAUCGGCCACACUGGGACUGGGACACGGCCCAGACUCCUACGGGAGGCAGCAGUAGGGAAUCUUCGGCAAUGGACGGAAGUCUGACCGAGCAACGCCGCGUGAGUGAAGAAGGUUUUCGGAUCGUAAAGCUCUGUUGUAAGAGAAGAACGAGUGUGAGAGUGGAAAGUUCACACUGUGACGGUAUCUUACCAGAAAGGGACGGCUAACUACGUG
rnacentral:rRNA from 1 species